rnacentral:rRNA from 1 species
CAGUAGCCGCGGUAAUACAGAGGGUGCAAGCGUUAAUCGGAAUUACUGGGCGUAAAGCGCGCGUAGGUGGUUUGUUAAGUUGGAUGUGAAAUCCCCGGGCUCAACCUGGGAACUGCAUUCAAAACUGACUGACUAGAGUAUGGUAGAGGGUGGUGGAAUUUCCUGUGUAGCGGUGAAAUGCGUAGAUAUAGGAAGGAACACCAGUGGCGAAGGCGACCACCUGGGACAACACUGACGCUGAGGCACGAAAGCGUGGGGAGCAAACAGGAUUAGAUACCCGCGUAGUCCCUGUCUCUUAUAC